GGCCUAUUUGAUCAAAAUUAUCGUGCAAAUCAAUCGAUUCACGCAAUCUAUCGUAGUCUUCCUCUUCGACAUAAAUUCCAUUCAAGGCCUCAUUCACAGCAGACACGUUGUUGCUCUGAACUGCAAUCAUGUAUGGCUUCACAAGCAGCAAGUGACCAGCCUUCCUCAUAAUAUCAACAACUCGUGUGUGGUCUACGCGAAGUGCAAGCACAUUGAGAAGAUCAUUAAUAAGAUCCGGAUGCUCUUGCAAGUAAAAAU
rnacentral:misc_RNA from 1 species